ACCAAGGGUUCCUGUCCAACGUUAAUCGGGGCAGGGUGAGUCGACCCCUAAGGCGAGGCCGAAAGGCGUAGUCGAUGGGAAACGGGUUAAUAUUCCCGUACUUGGUGUUACUGCGAAGGGGGGACGGAGAAGGCUAUGUUGGCCGGGCGACGGUUGUCCCGGUUUAAGCGUGUAGGUGUGUGUUCCAGGUAAAUCCGGUUCACUUUAACACUGAGGCGUGAUGACGAGGCACUACGGUGCUGAAGCAACAAAUGCCCUGCUUCCAGGAAAAGCCUCUAAGCAUCAGGUAACAUCAAAUCGUACCCCAAACCGACACAGGUGGUCAGGUAGAGAAUACCAAGGCGCUUGAGAGAACUCGGGUGAAGGAACUAGGCAAAAUGGUGCCGUAACUUCGGGAGAAGGCACGCUGACACGUAGGUGAAGUGAUUUACUCACGGAGCUGAAGUCAGUCGAAGAUACCAGCUGGCUGCAACUGUUUAUUAAAAACACAGCACUGUGCAAACACGAAAGUGGACGUAUACGGUGUGACGCCUGCCCGGUGCCGGAAGGUUAAUUGAUGGGGUCAGCGCAAGCGAAGCUCCUGAUCGAAGCC
rnacentral:rRNA from 1 species